GGGGGGAGCGCAGGAUCCUGGGCUGUGUCCCCCGGCGCUCUGGGCUCCGGGGCCUGCGCUGCUGGAAUCGCCUUCCCCGGAGCCCCCU
rfam:Canis lupus familiaris chromosome 14, whole genome shotgun sequence.